CGCUUUACCCUUUGCUACAUCUUGGGGAGAAGAACGAGUGCCAUUAGUUUUUGAUUACCAUGGAUAACGGUGGCAGUGGCUCUCUAGCCAGAGAAGAUAAGGGAUGACUCGCUGUACCUAGAUGCAUCACACGCUGGCGUCUCACGUGGCACAUCAUCCCGUCUAUAUAAGAGAACACCAUGCACGUCUCUCCACCACACAGAAGGAGAGGAAGAACUACACAGCUCCGAAUCCAAAGAAGAAGACCAGAGCGCGCAGAUGGGAAUUUGGCUGUACAAUGUUAUAAAUCUUUCAAAAAAAGAUAUAAUGUUGGAAAAAUCAUCAUCGGUUCGGCAUAUAAACACACUCACUGUCACCGUCGAUACGGUUACUGGAGGCUCGAAUGAUUCUUGGGUCUUCUAUCAUAAUGGUGGGACUACACGUAUGACAGUGUACGAUGAUGGCGACUGGGGAUUGGCGAUUAACCUUAAGCGUGAUGGUACUGAAGACUACAAUAGAUCGUGGAGUAUAAAGAGCAAUUAUACACGCUUUAAUUUUGUUUUUGAGCCAAGUAAAAUUUGGUUUUACUCCUCAAAUAAUCCAUUGUUGCUGGACGGAGUGCAGCACCAAGCAUGGGUUCUCCAGAUUCAGAAGAAUUGGAAAUGGGAGGCGUACGACGUGGAUACAACUAAACUUUUAACGGCCUGAUCAUCACUUUUCUUCAAUCUUUUGAUUGAUGUUUACUACAAUAAUAUGCUUUAUCUUUGUAAUAAUAAUGUCAUGUUUAGUUCGCGUGAUGGAAUGAAGAGGGAAUGGAAUGAAAUGAAAAAAUAAAUGAAGACUAUGACAAAAAUCAAGUGAUAAAUUCGAUUUGAUCCCUUCCACCUGACUUUAUUCCAUUCCUAUUACUAAACAUGUAGAUAGUAAGUCACUUCCAUGCUUAGUGAGAUAAGGGAAGAAAAUAAUAA